AUCCGACUGACGAGUCCCAAAUAGGACAAAAUGCGCAUUUUGGAU
rnacentral:hammerhead_ribozyme from 1 species